rnacentral:tRNA from 1 species
GUUUUAAUAGUUUAACAAAAACAUUGGUCUUGUAAAUCAAAAAUAAGAGUUAAUCUUUUAAAACU